GUGAAUCAUCGAAUUUUUGAACGCAAAUUGCACUCUCUGGUAUUCCGGGGAGUAUGCCUGUUUGAGGGUCAGUUUAAAUUAAAAAUCGAGGUGUUGCUUUUUUUGUGGAGCAACGGGAUUGGGGUAACUUUUUUCUUUUGGUUUUUUUAGAGAACUUAAAUUUAUACUUUGUGCAUUCCAGAAGUUC
rnacentral:misc_RNA from 1 species